rnacentral:rRNA from 1 species
GUGAGGAAUAUUGGACAAUGGGCGCAAGCCUGAUCCAGCCAUGCCGCGUGAGUGAUGAAGGCCUUAGGGUUGUAAAGCUCUUUCACCGAUGAAGAUAAUGACGGUAGUCGGAGAAGAAGCCCCGGCUAACUUCGUGCCAGCAGCCGCGGUAAUACGAAGGGGGCUAGCGUUGUUCGGAAUUACUGGGCGUAAAGCGCACGUAGGCGGGUAUUUAAGUCAGGGGUGAAAUCCCGGAGCUCAACUCAGGAACUGCCUUUGCUAAUGGGUACCUAGAGUAUGGAAGAGGUAAGUGGAAUUCCGAGUGUAGAGGUGAAAUUCGUAGAUAUUCGGAGGAACACCAGUGGCGAAGGCGGCUUACUGGUCCAUUACUGACGCUGAGGUGCGAAAGCGUGGGGAGCAAACAGGAUUAGAAACCCUUGUAGUCC